rnacentral:rRNA from 1 species
UAAUGUUUGAUGUUCUAACGUUGACCCGUAAUCCGGGUUGCGGACAGUGUCUGGUGGGUAGUUUGACUGGGGCGGUCUCCUCCUAAAGAGUAACGGAGGAGCACGAAGGUUGGCUAAUCCUGGUCGGACAUCAGGAGGUUAGUGCAAUGGCAUAAGCCAGCUUGACUGCGAGCGUGACGGCGCGAGCAGGUGCGAAAGCAGGUCAUAGUGAUCCGGUGGUUCUGAAUGGAAGGGCCAUCGCUCAACGGAUAAAAGGUACUCCGGGGAUAACAGGCUGAUACCGCCCAAGAGUUCAUAUCGACGGCGGUGUUUGGCACCUCGAUGUCGGCUCAUCACAUCCUGGGGCUGAAGUAGGUCCCAAGGGUAUGGCUGUUCGCCAUUUAAAGUGGUACGCGAGCUGGGUUUAGAACGUCGUGAGACAGUUCGGUCCCUAUCUGCCGUGGGCGCUGGAGAACUGAGGGGGGCUGCUCCUAGUACGAGAGGACCGGAGUGGACGCAUCACUGGUGUUCGGGUUGUCAUGCCAAUGGCACUGCCCGGUAGCUAAAUGCGGAAGAGAUAAGUGCUGAAAGCAUCUAAGCACGAAACUUGCCCCGAGAUGAGUUCUCCCUGACUCCUUGAGAGUCCUGAAGGAACGUUGAAGACGACGACGUUGAUAGGCCGGGUGUGUAAGCG